UACGUAGGGUGCAAGCGUUGUCCGGAAUUAUUGGGCGUAAAGGGCUCGUAGGCGGUCCAUCGCGUCGGGAGUGAAAAGCUGGGGCUUAACCCCAGUCCUGCUUCCGAUACGGGUGGACUAGAGGUAGGCAGGGGAGAACGGAAUUCCUGGUGUAGCGGUGAAAUGCGCAGAUAUCAGGAGGAACACCGGUGGCGAAGGCGAUUACCUGGCCUGUUCUUGACGCUGAGGCGCGAAAGCUAGGGGAGCAAACGGG
rnacentral:rRNA from 1 species